rnacentral:lncRNA from 1 species
GACAGCAACGGUCGUCCUAACCGAUGUAGGCAGACGACAUGUAUAUGCGCGACGCGCAGCUCCGAAACUUUGUGCGAGCUGACUAAUUGACACUGUUUGCCUACUUGUAUUUGCUUUACCAUACGGCUGAGAAGCAUGACACGUGAUAUAGGAGGACUCACAUUAUUAACACGAUGCAGCAAACAUGCUUUGGAAGCUCUCUAGAAUGCAGGAACCGACAACUGAUGAUUCUCGUCAAGGCAAGACAUCUGCUUCCCAGCGCCAUUAGCACAGCACCAUAAAUUGAAAUGUUUAUAAUGCUCCUGUAGCAGCACAAUUGUCACUUGCGAUGCGUUACAUUCAAGCGGGAAUGAGAAACAUUUCACAACUCAAAUUUCGCAUCCAACCCACCUUGUCUAGGGACUGCCCGGUUGCGGAAAAUCCACUUUUGCGAGGGCGCUUGCGCGCGUUCUGGGAUGUCCGCUGGUCGACAAAGACGACGCACGCGACUGUUUCCAGUCCGUGGUCGCACAGGC